rnacentral:rRNA from 1 species
GACGGAGGAUGCAAGCGUUAUCCGGAAUUAUUGGGCGUAAAGAGUACGUAGGCGGCCAAUCAAGUCUGGGGUUAAAGACCACAGCUUAACUGUGGAAGAGCCUUAGAAACUGGUUCGCUGGAGUGUGACAGGGGUAGAGGGAAUUCCCGGUGUAGCGGUGAAAUGCGUAGAUAUCGGGAAGAACACCUGUGGCGAAAGCGCUCUACUGGGUCACAACUGACGCUGAGGUACGAAAGCUAGGGGAGCGAAUGGG